rnacentral:rRNA from 1 species
AACGAACGCUGGCGGCAUGCCUAACACAUGCAAGUCGAACGAGACCUUCGGGUCUAGUGGCGCACGGGUGCGUAACGCGUGGGAAUCUACCCUCAGGUUCGGAAUAACUCAGAGAAAUUUGAGCUAAUACCGGAUGAUGACGUAAGUCCAAAGAUUUAUCGCCUGAGGAUGAGCCCGCUUAGGAUUAGGUAGUUGGUGAGGUAAAGGCUCACCAAGCCGACGAUCCUUAGCUGGUCUGAGAGGAUGAUCAGCCACACUGGGACUGAGACACGGCCCAGACUCCUACGGGAAGCAGCAGUGGGGAAUAUUGGACAAUGGGCGAAAGCCUGAUCCAGCAAUGCCGCGUGAGUGAUGAAGGCCUUAGGGUUGUAAAGCUCUUUUACCCGGGAUGAUAAUGACAGUACCGGGAGAAUAAGCGCCGGCUAACUCCGUG